GGGGAUUUAGCUCAGUGGUAGAGCGCUUGCCUCGCAAGCACAAGGCCCUGGGUUCAGUCCCCAGCUCCG
rfam:Rattus norvegicus chromosome 16, whole genome shotgun sequence.